UCCACAUGAUUGAUCGCCUGACCUAUUAUAUUUUUUUAAACUAGUGAAAUUAAUUGUAAAAUUUUAGGUACAAGAAACUUUAGCAAUAAAGAAUUUGAUUUGUUUUGUCAAAAUCUAAAAAUAUCCGAACCCGACCUGAAAUAACUCAACCCGAACUAAAAAUAUCUGAACCCAACCCGAUAUGUAAGAAUACCGAACGGGUUCUAG
rnacentral:lncRNA from 1 species